GCCUGGAUGGAUCAGAGGACACC
rnacentral:miRNA from 1 species